rnacentral:rRNA from 1 species
AGAGUUUGAUCAUGGCUCAGAUUGAACGCUGGCGGCAGGCCUAACACAUGCAAGUCGAGCGCGAAAGGCUUUCGGGCUGAGUAGAGCGGCGGACGGGUGAGUAACGCGUAGGAAUCUACCUGGUAGUGGGGGACAACUUGGGGAAACUCAAGCUAAUACCGCAUACGCCCCAAGGGGGAAAGCGGGGGACCUUCGGGCCUCGCGCUAUCGGAUGAGCCUGCGUAGGAUUAGCUAGUUGGUAGGGUAAAGGCCUACCAAGGCGACGAUCCUUAACUGGUCUGAGAGGAUGAUCAGUCACACUGGAACUGAGACACGGUCCAGACUCCUACGGGAGGCAGCAGUGGGGAAUAUUGGACAAUGGGCGCAAGCCUGAUCCAGCCAUGCCGCGUGUGUGAAGAAGGCCUUCGGGUUGUAAAGCACUUUCACUUGGGAAGAAAAGUUCAGCGUUAAUAGCGCUGAGCCCUGACAUUACCUUGAGAAGAAGCACCGGCUAACUCCGUGCCAGCAGCCGCGGUAAUACGGAGGGUGCGAGCGUUAAUCGGAAUUACUGGGCGUAAAGCGCGCGUAGGCGGUUUGUUAAGUCAGCUGUGAAAGCCCCGGGCUCAACCUGGGAACUGCAGUUGAUACUGGCCGACUAGAGUACGAGAGAGGGAGGUAGAAUUCCAUGUGUAGCGGUGAAAUGCGUAGAUAUAUGGAGGAAUACCGGUGGCGAAGGCGGCCUCCUGGCUCGAUACUGACGCUGAGGUGCGAAAGCGUGGGGAUCAAACAGGAUUAGAUACCCUAGUAGUCC